AUGAACCUAUUUGAAGUGGCCCAUUUUGUACCAGAAAAGCCCAUGUAUGAACAAGGGUUGAUUUUACUUCCACACUUAGCUACUCUAGGUUGGGGAGUAGGGCCCGGGGGGAGGGGGGGAAUUCUAGAUACUUUUCCGUACUUUGUAUCUGGCGUACUUCACCUAAUUUCCUCCGCAGUCUUAGGCUUCGGUGGCAUUUAUCACGCGCUUCUGGGACCCGAGACUCUUGAGGAAUCUUUUCCAUUCUUUGGUUAUGUCUGGAAAGAUAGUGUGACUUUGUACUAA
rnacentral:rRNA from 1 species